rfam:Myotis lucifugus cont2.624, whole genome shotgun sequence.
CUGUCUCUUGCUUCAACAGUAUUUGAACGGAACAG